rnacentral:rRNA from 1 species
AGGUGGUGCAUGGUUGUCGUCAGCUCGUGCCGUAAGGUAUUGGGUUAAGUCCCGCAACGAGCGCAACCUUCGUGUCACAGUCCAGGCACAAUGACGCAAUUAUCAAGGGCACGCUUUACCACUGAACUAAUAGUCCAUCGUGCGAGCUUCCCAUUGGGGGCUCGCUAUGCCAAAAGCGAGAGAAUGUAUCAUGUGGUUCGUCACACUCC